UUUCCGUAGGUGAACCUGCGGAAGGAUCAUUAUUGUAUAACCGAGGUGCGAGGGCUGUCGCUGACCCGACAGGUCGUGCACGCCCGAGUGCCCUCACACACAUCCAUCUCACCCCUAUGUGCACCACCGCGUGGGUCCCCCUUUGGCUUGUUCGGAGGGGGGCUUACGUUUUCACACAAACUUUGUAUGCAGUGUAGAAUGUAUUUUUUGUUUUUGCGAUCACGCAAUCAAUACAACUUUCAACAACGGAUCUCUUGGCUCUCGCAUCGCUGAAGAACC
rnacentral:misc_RNA from 1 species